rnacentral:rRNA from 1 species
GAUGAACGCUGGCGGCGUGCCUAAUACAUGCAAGUAGAACGCUGAAGGAGGAGCUUGCUCUUCUGGAUGAGUUGCGAACGGGUGAGUAACGCGUAGGUAACCUGCCUGGUAGCGGGGGAUAACUAUUGGAAACGAUAGCUAAUACCGCAUGACAACAGUUAUUGCAUGAUAACUGUUUAAAAGGGGCAACUGCUCCACUACCAGAUGGACCUGCGUUGUAUUAGCUAGUUGGUGAGGUAACGGCUCACCAAGGCGACGAUACAUAGCCGACCUGAGAGGGUGAUCGGCCACACUGGGACUGAGACACGGCCCAGACUCCUACGGGAGGCAGCAGUAGGGAAUCUUCGGCAAUGGACGGAAGUCUGACCGAGCAACGCCGCGUGAGUGAAGAAGGUUUUCGGAUCGUAAAGCUCUGUUGCAAGAGAAGAACGAGUGUGAGAGUGGAAAGUUCACACUGUGACGGUAUCUUACCAGAAAGGGACGGCUAACUACGU